rnacentral:rRNA from 1 species
UACGUAGGGGGCAAGCGUUGUCCGGAUUUAUUGGGCGUAAAGCGCGCGUAGGCGGCGCGGUAUGUCGUGCGUGAAAUCUCCCGGCUUAACUGGGAGGGGCCGUGCGAAACUGCCGGGCUUGAGGUCGGAAGGGGAAAGUGGAAUUCCGGGUGUAGUGGUGGAAUACGUAGAGAUCGUAAGGAAGACCAGUGGCGAAGGCGGGUCUCUGGACAGUUCCUGACACUGAGGCACGAAGGCCAGGGGAGCAAACGGG